GAACAGAAUGCCAACUUUAACAACAAAAAUAACAGAAAGCAACAAUUACUUUUCCUUAAUAUCUCUUAAUAUCAAUGGACUCAACUCCCCAAUAAAAAGACAUAGACUAACAAACUGGCUACACAAACAAGACCCAACAUUUUGCUGCUUACAGGAAACUCAUCUCAGAGAAAAAGAUAGACACUACCUCAGAAUGAAAGGCUGAAAAACAAUUUUCUAAGCAAAUGGUAUGAAGAAACAAGCUGGAGUAGCCAUUCUAAUAUCUAACAAAAUCGACUUCCAACCCAAAAUAAUCAAAAAAGACAAGGAGGGGCACUUCAUACUCAUAAAAGGUAAAAUCCUCCAAGAGGAACUCUCAAUUCUGAAUAUCUAUGCUCCAAAUACAAGGGCAGCCACAUUCAUUAAAGAAACUUUAGUAAAGCUCAAAGCACACAUUGCACCUCACACAAUAAUAGUGGGAGACUUCAACACACCACUUUCACCAAUGGACAGAUCAUGGAAACAGAAACUAAACAGGGACACAGUGAAACUAACAGAAGUUAUGAAACAAAUGGACUUAACAGAUAUCUACAGAACAUUUUAUCCUAAAACAAAAGCAUAUACCUUCUUCUCAGCACCUCAUGGUACCUUCUCUAAAAUUGACCACAUAAUUGGUCACAAAACAAGCCUCAACAUAU
rnacentral:lncRNA from 1 species